AAUUUAUGGGCAGAAUUCAUGAAAAAUGCAGAGAAGCUGGUGAAGUUGUGUUCGUCGACACUACAAGUCACUUAGAUCAACUGAACACAGCAGUAACUCCUUUUCUGUGUGCUGGGCCAGCUGGAGCUCUUCCCCUUGGAGUCAUCUUCACAUCUUCUCAGGAUGAAGAAAGCUAUACUGCAGGUUUUCAGUUACUGAGGAAGGUGCUCGGUGAGACUGCCUUUUUCCAACAAGGGCAUCCAGCUUGUUUCAUAACAGACAACAGUGACGCUGAGCGUAAUGCCUUGAAGACUGUAUGGCCAGAAUCUCAGCGCUUUCUGUGCAUAUUCCACAUCCUGCAGCAGGUCUGGAGGUGGCUGUGUGAUGGUUCACAUGGCAUCAAGAAGGAAGAUCGCCGAGUACUAAUGACAGUGGCAAAGAAUCUGGUAUAUGCUGAUUCAGAUGAAACAUUUCAAGAUGAAUGGAAUUGCUUUUGUCAGACCCCAGAAGCCCAAAAGUAUAACCAGUACAUGAGGUAUCUGGCAAAGCUGAUAGAAAGGAAGGAAGAAUGGAGUACUGUGUACAGGGCUGGAUUUUUGCUACGUGGACACCACACAAAUAAUUUUGCAGAAUCUACCAUGUGCAUCAUUAAAGAUAUCAUUCUCAACAGGUUAGUGUGCCAUUUGUCAUUAUAUAUACCUCAGUCAAGCUAUAAACGUCUAAUAGGUCGAUGAACGGGGUCGUUCAUAGCGAAUUCGUUCAUAGUUAAUACUGUAUGCUA